rnacentral:lncRNA from 1 species
GAUCGUCAGGGUGAGUCUGAACAAAUUUUUAUUUUAAAAUUUUAUAAUCAUUAUAAAUUAUCUUUGAUAUGCUGCAGAAAUGGGAUCAAGAUAACCAAGGUUUCUUAAACUAGAUACCUCAUAAGAUCUAAAUAUACAGAUCCUCUAUUUUACACGCUCACCAGGCACCGUAGGGAAGAGAGAUGAAGAUCUUUGUGCCAAUUCUUCAGAAGGGAAG